AAUCGAGCGGUUCCAUUCCACCUCCCCUGUCUGGCUCGCCCGGCGCCGAUCCCGCGCGCGCCGGCCUGCACUCCCCGUCUCGCUCCCCCCGACGCCGCCGCUGCGCCGUCCCGCGCGUGCCGCCAUCGCCCUCCCUGUCUCGCUCGCCGACGCUGCCGCUGCGCCAUCCCGCGCGCGCCGGCCUCCCCCUUGCUCUGCCCUCCCACGACGGGCAAAUCGUGAAACCGCCGACGGCUCAUCGGGCCGCCGCAACGGUGCUCGCCGCGGCUGGAUCUCCAUGCUCUCUCCGCCCCUGCAUCUCUCCCUACGUCUUUCAUCCCCGCCUCCACACCGUCAUUCCUGCAGCGUCCGGAGAGCCGCCCGUCGACGUCUCGAGACGGCGCCAGCACCCCCCUGCGUCCAAAUCGCCGGCGGCCCUCCUCGGGUCGAGGCCACCAUCCCAGCCACGUUUGGAUCGGUGCGCGGACCGCUUCGGCUCAACGCCGCCAUCCCAGCCGCGUCCGGAGCUCCGCGCAGCCCUCCUCAGGUUCGACAGCGCAUGGGACAACGCCAUCCCCUCCCCCAUCGCGGAUACGAGGUGGAAUGGGGGAUAACAGCAGGGGAACCUCUCCCUCUGCUGCGAUGAACGCAACCUCCAGGCUUCUGUCUCCUGUCGUCCGCUGUAACUGACUUCACUGGUGAACUGUGAGCAAGUGUACCUAGAUGAUUUGCUGUGUUCUCGCAUUGUAGCUCAAAAAUUCAUCAGUGCUGAUAGACUCAUGAAGCGAUUUUUGUCAGGGAAGAAAAAAAAAAUCAAAACACAGAGGCUGAUGAGGAGGACCUGAGGGCGCCACCCUCGCCUCCCCGUCUCGCUCGCCGACACUGCCGUCCCGCUCGCGCCGCCCUCGCCCUCCCCGCCUCCGUCCCGCUCGUGCGGCCCUCCGCCCUCUCCCUGGAGCAUGACCUCCCGCGGCCGUCCCCGUGCAGCCGAUUGAAGCUCUGCGCCUCAGCCAAUCGCCUCCCAAGACCUCACCUGCAACGCACCGCUGAGCCAUCGGUGGACGCUCCUCAUCGCCCCUCGUGCGCCUCCGGAUCCGCGGUCCUCAGAGAGACAGGUCCUUUGGACGGAAAGUACGAUGUCCUCCCCCAACAGUCAUUCUACAUGGUGGGAGGCAGUGAGAAAGUCAUUUGAAGAAAGUUGCAUCACUAUCGUGCCAAAUAUGUUGCUUAUCAAAAAUGCCUACACACCCUAGCACAAAUAUGUAUGUCUAUGUUGAUAGCAAUCUCUUAUGUUGUAUUUUGGUUGAAUAUUUGAUGUGGGUAUCCAUUUGAUUGUUUGAUUUGCUUCA